AGACAACCUGCGGCGGCGGCGAGAGAGCACCGGGAUUCGCAGCCUAGCAGCCGAGCCAGACUCCCUGCGCCGCUGCCAGCCGGCUGGGGGCGGGGAGGGGGUCGCCUCCCAGGGGUGGGGACAGAGGGGGUGUGUUGAAAGGAAGAGGCUCAAUUAAAACCAACAAGAGCGCUUUCCUCCGUGCGGGGCAGGGGCGUGCGUUUGCGUCAGAGGGCGCGCGGGGGGCGGGGGCAGCCGAUGCUGGGGACUGCACCCGGGGGCUGGGGGGUCUCGGAAGCGAGGAGGCCUUGCCUAGCUGGGCUGGCCCGGGGUCAGGCCCUGUAGGUGAGGGCCAAGGCGAGACGGGAUGACAGCUGAGCCUGCCCGGGAGCAGAGGCGCCCACCCAUCCUUACUGUGGGCUCUCCGUGCCCCCACAGAGCUUUCAAACUUGAAAGAGGCCCCUGGGACCCGGCGUGACCCUAGCGGUGGGGAGAAGUUGGGCCCGCGAGGCCUCAGGCGAAGCCGCGGGCUCCUCCGGAAGGAAGGAGGAGGGUGAAGUCCCCUGUCCUAGUCCCAGGGGUGGGAGUGGGAAGCUGUUGGUGGUGAUGCCCGGAGCAGCGGAAGCCCGCGGCUUUUCGGAGGAGGGGAGCGGCUCGCACUCCUACGGGGCAUCCUUGCCAACUUUCUGUCACAAGAGGGGGCGGGGAGAAACCAAGGCUUUUCGAGGAGGGCGCUGUCCCCCUCUGGAACUCGUCCGGCCUGAGUGGCACUUAGAGCUCAGUUUCUCUUCGGAAGCCUGUGCUCCCCGACCGCGGUUGCACACCCACAGGGCGCCCCACUUGUGCUCAUAGCCCUGCCUCCAGCAAAAAUGUCUUCCCUAGAGGCACUGAGAGGUCAGCUUAGUUCCUGGGAAGCCCUUUCUUUCUUUCUUCAAGGCUCUCUUUUGAUACUGGUCCCAAUUGGCACACUUGUCCUGGGCCUAAUGCGACCCACACUCAACCAGGAAAUAAUGAUAUCUGUUGUUGUGGGGUAGGGUACCUAAUAGAAAACUGAUCAUAGUUUUCGAGAGUACUUAGAUCCCCCAAUUGGGAAAUCCUACAUACUUGUCCAGGCACGCUCAGCUGCAGGAGCAGAAAACGCAGUUGUAGUGUCCACGUUUCUUUCACCCACCCCCUCUUCUUCAGAUCUCUCUCCCUCCCUUCUAGGCCAGGCCUUUCACCUCGGAACCUUAAGCUGAGUCUGGACGUGGUUCUUGGACUCGGACCGCUGUGGCUCUUGCCUCAGCAUCCUACCCGAGGCCUCCAGCCAGGCCCACAGGGGCUCAGCCCUCUCCAGGGUCUCUCUUUCGGUUUGGCGGGUCUGGGAACUGUAAGGGCCUUGCCGGGGCCUGGGCUCCCGGGAGCCUCCCUUCCUUCCUCUGCCUUCCUGGUUCCCACAGACCUGUUCAGUGCACACUAGAUCUUUAGUGUAGUUCCCCAAAAAGGCGAUGAGAAGGUACCGCUCCGCUUGGGGAAAGGAAUUAGGCUGUAAGCCUAUAGUACCCCUUGCGGGCUGCUAGCAUCAAGCUCAGCGUUAAUCACGUUUUAAAAGACAUACCAGACAAAGCUUGAUCUCUCCCAGCUUGCCACCCAGUAAAUUGUGAUCUGGUGAGAGAGGAAGAGAAGCACAGAUCGGUUUGGCUGCACAUUCAGGGUUGACUUGCGUUCCAGGCCCCAGAAUCCGGAUCUAAGCGGACUGUCUGUCUGUUAACAUAUCCUCUCCCUCCAUAUCUUUCUUACCACGAGGCUGAACCAUUUUUCACUAAUUCUAUGGGCUUUUUUUGAUAUUGAUAUCUUGGUCUCCCGAAAGUCAUUCAUUUUAGCUUUUUGGUAAGUCACACUGAACAAAAGUGGCCUUGUAAAAACAUUUUCUAAAUCUAGUUCAAGAGCCAUGGGACCCUACAAAUGAUCAGAUAUGUGUAGGAAAUUCUCUUUUAUACCUCUUCCCUACCUCAAAAUCGUUAAAAAUGGUAUUAUUCUGUUUAGCAAGACCACAGAACAGAACUAACCCCGUUUUAUCGAGCCCAUCUGGAGAGAUGAACAUGCCUGCAAUCAUUGAGAAAAAGGGAUGAUGUGGUGGCCCAGGGUCAUGACUGGAUGUGUGAACAAGGGACAGGGACUGAGAAACGGAAAUACUACCAUCCUCCAGCCAAUCUGUUGGGAGGACUGCUUGCAGAGGACUCGUGCUCCAGAUGUUGCACUAGAGGCGCUGCAAGUGUGAGCAGCAGGUAGAUGAAACUCAAGAGAAAAGGUGUGGAUAAAUGAAACUAGCCCAUGAUGAACCUGUUUUCUCCGUGACCACAAUAUUAACCAGGAUGAAUGGCGGUGGCAGUGGGCCUGCAUCACAGGUUGCAGCAGAUGUUCUCAAUAUUUCUAUUAAAAUUUCCUUAUUUCCAUAUGCAAGAGGAGCCCCAGAGCUGCAUCCUUAUGGUAGCUACCAUGCCGUGAUGUAAGCUGCCAUUCACUGGGGAGCUUUGGCAAUAGAAUUGGCUAGAUCAGGAAGCCUAUGUCAACUAUGGAACAACAACUUGCAGCUCAUCUCUAUUGAUGGGUGAAGGUACGCUCAAGCGUCGUCACUGAGGACAAGUUAACGAGAGAUUCCCGAGUAUGUCUACAGUCAGCCUUGCGAUAUUUGAAGUUGUACAAUGAACCCAUCAGAGAUGCAAAGAAAAGCACCUCCAUGGAGAUGGAGACACCGCAGUUGAGCACCAUCGACUCACAAGAUGAAUAGAAUGGUGAUGUCAGAACAGAUGAAGUUGCCAUCCACCAAGAAGGCAGAGCCACCGACUUGGGCACAAUUAAAGAAGCUGACAGAGUUAGCUAAAAAAAAAAAGCCUAGAGAACACAAAGGUGACACAAACUUCAGAGAACAUGCUGUUUGCAGCUUUGAUGAUUGUAUCAACGGUGUGUGCAGGUGUACCUAGCAGCUCCAAAGAGACAGCGACCAUCGAGGACAAGCCAUGAUGACAAUGGUGGUUUUGUCAAAAAGAAAAGGGGGAAAUGUGGGGAAGAGAAAGAGAGAUCAGACUGUUACUGUGUCUAUGUAGAAAGAAGUAGACAUAAGAGACUCCAUUUUGUUCUGUACUAAGAAAAAUUAUUUUGCCUCGAGAUGCUGUUAAUCUGUAACCCUACCCUUAACCCUGUGCUGGCAGAAACACGUGCUGUGACGACUCAAGGUUUAGUGGAUUUAGGGCUAUGCAGGAUGUGCUUUGUUAAACAAAUGCUUGAAGGCAGCAUGCUUGUUAAAAGUCAUCACCACUCCCUAAUCUCAAGUACCCGGGGACACAAAACACUGUGGAAGGCUGCAGGGACCUCUGCCUAGGAAAGCCAGGUAUUGUCCAAGGUUUCUCCCCAUGUGGUAAUCUGAAAUAUGGCCUCGUGGGAAGGGAAAGACCUGACCGUUCCCCAGCCCGACACCCGUAAAGGGUCUGUGCUGAGGAGGAUUAGUAAAAGAGGAAGGCCUCUUUGCAGUUGAGAUAAGAGGAAGGCAUCUGUCUCCUGCUCGUCCCUGGGCAAUAGAAUGUCUGGGUGUAAAACCCGAUUGUAUAUUCCAUCUACUGGAGAUAGGAGAAAACCGCCUUAGGGCUGGAGGUGAGACAUGCUGGCGGCAAUAGGCAAUAGUGCUCUUUAAAGCAUUGAGAUGUUUAUGUAUGUGCACAUUAAAAGCACAGCACCUUUUUCUUUACCUUGUUUAUGAUGUAGAGAUGUUUGUUCACGUUUUCCUGCUGACCCUCUCCCCACUAUUACCCUGUUGUCCUGCCACUCUCCAUUGUCUCCCUGUUGUCCCCCUCUCCGAUAUGGUAGAGAUACUAAUGAAUAAAUACUGAGGGAACUCAGAGACCGGUGCCGGCGUGGGUCCUCCAUAUGCUGAACGCCGGUUCCCUGGGCCCACUUUUCUUUCUCUAUUAAAAAAAAAAAAAAUUAAAAAUGUAAAAAAUUA
rnacentral:lncRNA from 1 species